GUUCUUCAGGUGGAGGAGCGGAAAGAAGUUGGACGUGCUCUCCCAACGAGGUGUUGGUCAAUGCCCUUGUCAGCAGUGGCCGCACCUGCGUUCUUGUGUCCGAGGAGGACGAGGAGGCUUCAUACUUGGACCGAAAGCUCCGUGGGAAGUACUGUGUCUGCUUUGAUCCCCUGGAUGGCUCCUCCAACAUCAACUGCGGCAUGCCCAUCGGAAUGGUAUGCACACAAGUAAUUUCACCGCUUAAAAGGUUCAACGGAACACACAAUUAAUAAGAAGUUGGAGUCACUAUCUGACUUGAUUUGAUUGUCGGGCACAUGGAUAAAACAUGAUAGUCACAUCACGAGAGGCAAUUUCAAAAGGAGCAUGAACCGCUGCAUGCCAGGGCAGUGAGUGUGUAUUCCUGAUGGGUGUUGGUGUGAUUGUUGUGUUAUUCUGAAUUUAGGCAUAUGACUGUGUGUCUUGUGUCUGAUUCAGUCCGUCAUUGAAUAAUCAGAUGACAAUGGAGGUGCUCGACUCAAGGCAGAGGUACUCAAAUUUGAUCACUUUGUUGUAGAAUCAUGGUGCUAAUUAAAUAAUCUCUUGACUGAUUUUGAAUCUUUGCCAAUAGUUCAACAUCUUUUUUUAUCACAAGGUCUAAAAGGUAUCAUUUAAAAUGUGCAGAUGAUCAUUCAUUAGGUGUCAAACCCACGUCCCGUUUGUCAUUUUCUAGAUGAACUGCGUUAUAGAAAGUGGAAAAUUGUUGCUUGUUAUGUUGAUAUGCAAACUACCAAAUUGGGAAAUUUUCGAUGAUGAUGAAACUACAUUGUAAAAAAGUGAAUCAUAUUAGGAAUGUCUCCCAACCCUCAAAUUGUUGCUUGUUAUAUUGAUCUGCAGACUACCAAAUUGAAAAAAAAAAAAUCAAUCCUGAUAUGAUUCUGAGAAUUGAUGCAUGGUUGCAGAUGGCUACCAAACUAUAAAAUUAUCAACCUUGAGAAAAUAUAGAUGUAUUUUGUACAUGCAGGUUUGAUGCAUGAUUUCAGCUGCAUGUAGGUUUCGGUUUGUGUCCAAGACAAGUAUAUGUAUACCAAUAAUGAUUACUUUCUUUUUCAAAUGGUUCCUGCUGCGGGCAUGACAAGUGCGUGUGUAUAAAUUAGUAUCAUGUUGCCUGCACAUUGAAUUUAUAACUCUUUUUUCUAAAUAAUGUGUCAUAUUUUGAUUCCUGUCAAAAUGACCAUUACUAUUUACUUUCUAGACAUCUUGUAUGUUGCUUAUGCUGAUAAUAAUUUUAUUUUUCUUAGGAUUUCAUUAUGCUCUCGAAGGGUACAUUAAGAGCAUGUAAACUUCGAUCAUAAUGAAAGUGCCACAUAGACUAAUUUAUUCUGGUAGUGUACUGCCUUUUAUGCAUUUAUCAGAGCUAUUCCACAAUUUUGCCCUCACUUAUACCUUUUUACACUUUUAUAUGUGUAGCUUCUUUUAAUUUUCUAAGACAUUGAUUUUUGCCUUUUAAGUCUUCAUGUGUGCAGAAUUACUUCUGCGGUGCGCCGGCAUCUGGUGAGCUUGACGGGUACUUCCUGAAGGUUGAUGUCCGCUCAUGUUGCGUCACUAAUCAAGGCCCCAUUUGCGUGAGAAGCUGAUUUUUUUGUUAGAUUGCCAAUGAGACGCUUGGAUAGGAGAAAAGAAACCGGAUGCACACACACAUUUACAUACUUCAUGU